rnacentral:rRNA from 1 species
AGCUCCAGUAGCGUAUAUUAAAGUUGUUGCAUUUAAAAAGCUCGUAGUUGGUGUUUCGCCCCGGACGUUCCUUCCCCUUAGGGGUUGGGCAGGCCGGAGUCGGUAGUUGGCUUCUCGCCAUGAGCACUGUGAAUAAAUUAGAGUGAUCCAGACAGGCUCUGUUUGAAUGAUUCAGCAUGGUAUGGGUCCUAGACGUUUGAGGGGUGCGGCCGUUUCGCACGGCGGCUUCUCGAGGUAAUGAUUGAUAGGGGCGAGCGAUGGGAUUCGUAUUGGGUUGUUAGAGGUGAAAUUCUUGGACCAACUCAAGACGUCCGGAAGCGAAAGCUUUUCCCACGUGCGCUCUUG